rnacentral:rRNA from 1 species
GAUGAACGCUGGCGGCGUGCCUCAUACAUGCAAGUCGAGCGAUGCGGGGACGUGUGAGUAACACGUGGCUAACCUCCUAUACGACUGGGAUAACUUCGGGAAACCGGCGCUAAACCUGAUACUUAUUGAUGGAUCCGCGCUUCAUUAGCUAGUUGGUAAGGUAACGGCUUCCAAAGGAAACUAUGCAUAGCAGCCCUGAGAGGGGUAUCGGCCACACGGGAACGGAGGCACGUGCCAGACCCCUACGGGAGGCAGCAGUAGGGAAUCUUCCGCAAGGGGCGAAAGCCUGACGUAGCAACGCCGCGUGAGUGAUGAAGUGCUUCGGAUCGUAAAACUCUGUUAUUAGGGAAGCGGUACCUAAUCAGAAAGCCACGGCUAACUACGUGUCAGCAGCCGCGGUAAUAC